rnacentral:rRNA from 1 species
GAGGGGCAGCACGAUGUAGCAAUACAUUGGUGGCGACCGGCGCACGGGUGAGUAACGCGUAUGCAACCUACCUAUCAGAGGGGAAUAACCCGGCGAAAGUCGGACUAAUACCGCAUAAAACAGGGGUUCCACAUGGAAAUAUUUGUUAAAGAAUUAUCGCUGAUAGAUGGGCAUGCGUUCCAUUAGAUAGUUGGUGAGGUAACGGCUCACCAAGUCCACGAUGGAUAGGGGUUCUGAGAGGAAGGUCCCCCACACUGGUACUGAGACACGGACCAGACUCCUACGGGAGGCAGCAGUGAGGAAUAUUGGUCAAUGGGCGAGAGCCUGAACCAGCCAAGUCGCGUGAAGGAUGAAGGAUCUAUGGUUUGUAAACUUCUUUUAUAUGGGAAUAAAGUGAGGAACGUGUUCCUUUUUGUAUGUACCAUAUGAAUAAGCAUCGGCUAACUCCGUGCCAGCAGCCGCGGUAAUACGGAGGAUGCGAGCGUUAUCCGGAUUUAUUGGGUUUAAAGGGUGCGUAGGUGGUUAAUUAAGUCAGCGGUGAAAGUUUGUGGCUCAACCAUAAAAUUGCCGUUGAAACUGGUUGACUUGAGUAUAUUUGAGGUAGGCGGAAUGCGUGGUGUAGCGGUGAAAUGCAUAGAUAUCACGCAGAACUCCGAUUGCGAAGGCAGCUUACUAAACUAUAACUGACACUGAAGCACGAAAGCGUGGGGAUCAAACAGGAUUAGAUACCCUGGUAGUCCACGCAGUAAACGAUGAUUACUAGCUGUUUGCGAUACACAGUAAGCGGCACAGCGAAAGCGUUAAGUAAUCCACCUGGGGAGUACGCCGGCAACGGUGAAAC